UACGAAGGGUGCUAGCGUUGCUCGGAAUCACUGGGCGUAAAGCGCACGUAGGCGGCUUUCUAAGUCAGGGGUGAAAUCCUGGAGCUCAACUCCAGAACUGCCUUUGAUACUGGGAGACUUGAGUCCGGGAGAGGUGAGUGGAACUGCGAGUGUAGAGGUGAAAUUCGUAGAUAUUCGCAAGAACACCAGCGGCGAAGGCGGCUCACUGGCCCGGUACUGACGCUGAGGUGCGAAAGCGUGGGGAGCAAACAGG
rnacentral:rRNA from 1 species